GACGAACGCUGGCGGCGCGCCUAACACAUGCAAGUCGAACGGAGCUGAGAGAAGCUUGCUUUUCUUAGCUUAGUGGCGAACGGGUGAGUAACGCGUGAGUAACCUGCCCUGGAGUGGGGGACAACAGUUGGAAACGACUGCUAAUACCGCAUAAGCCCACGAUCCAGCAUCGGAUUGAGGGAAAAGGAUUUAUUCGCUUCAGGAUGGACUCGCGUCCAAUUAGCUAGUUGGUGAGGUAACGGCCCACCAAGGCGACGAUUGGUAGCCGGACUGAGAGGUUGAACGGCCACAUUGGGACUGAGACACGGCCCAGACUCCUACGGGAGGCAGCAGUGGGGGAUAUUGCACAAUGGGGGAAACCCUGAUGCAGCGACGCCGCGUGGAGGAAGAAGGUUUUCGGAUUGUAAACUCCUGUCGUUAGGGACGAUAAUGACGGUACCUAACAAGAAAGCACCGGCUAACUACGUG
rnacentral:rRNA from 1 species